rnacentral:rRNA from 1 species
CUCGUAGCUUGCUAUGAGAACAAUUAAUGGCAGACGGGUGAGUAAUGCAUAGGAAUCUACCUAGUAGUAUAGGAUAGCCACUAGAAAUGGUGGGUAAUACUGUAUAAUCCCUGCGGGGGAAAGAUUUAUCGCUACAUGAUGAGCCUAUGUUAGAUUAGCUAGUUGGUGGGGUAAUGGCCUACCAAGGCAGUGAUCUAUAGCUGGUCUGAGAGGAUGAUCAGCCACACUGGAACUGAGACACGGUCCAGACUCCUACGGGAGGCAGCAGUGGGGAAUAUUGGACAAUGGGCGCAAGCCUGAUCCAGCUAUGCCGCGUGAGUGAGGAAGGCCUUAGGGUUGUAAAACUCUUUCAGUGGGGAAGAUAAUGACGGUACCCACAGAAGAAGUCCCGGCAAACUCCGUGCCAGCAGCCGCGGUAAUACGGAGGGGGCAAGCGUUGUUCGGAAUUAUUGGGCGUAAAGGGCAUGUAGGUGGUUUGGUAAGUUAAAGGUGAAAUGCCAGGGCUUAACCCUGGAGCUGCUUUUAAUACUGCCAGACUGGAGUCCGGGAGA